rnacentral:rRNA from 1 species
AACUUAAGCAUAUCAAUAAGCGGAGGAAAAGAAACCACAGGGAUUGCCUCAGUAACGGCGAGUGAAGCGGCAACAGCUCAAAUUUGAAAUCUGGCUCUUUCAGGGUCCGAGUUGUAAUUUGUAGAAGAUGCUUCGGGUGCGGUUCCGGUCUAAGUUCCUUGGAACAGGACGUCAUAGAGGGUGAGAAUCCCGUAUGUGACUGGGUCUCCGCGCCCGUGUGAAGCUCUUUCGACGAGUCGAGUUGUUUGGGAAUGCAGCUCUAAAUGGGUGGUAUAUUUCAUCUAAAGCUAAAUAUUGGCCAGAGACCGAUAGCGCACAAGUAGAGUGAUCGAAAGAUGAAAAGCACUUUGGAAAGAGAGUUAAACAGUACGUGAAAUUGUUGAAAGGGAAGCGCUUGCAAUCAGACUUGCGCGCCGUCGAUCAUCCCGGGUUCUCUCGGGUGCACUCGGCGGCGCUCAGGCCAGCAUCGGUUCUAGGGGCGGGAUAAAGGCCUUGGGAAUGUAGCUCCCUUCGGGGAGUGUUAUAGCCCUCGGUGCAAUGCCGCCUCCUGGGACCGAGGACCGCGCUUCGGCUAGGAUGCUGGCGUAAUGGUUGUAAGCGACCCGUCUUGAAACACGGACCAAGGAGUCUAACAUCUAUGCGAGUGUUUGGGUGUCAAACCCAUACGCGUAAUGAAAGUGAACGGAGCUAAGAACCCUUUAGGGCGCAUUAGCGACCGAUCCUGAUGUCUUCGGACGGAUUUGAGUACGAGCAUAGCUGUUGGGACCCGAAAGAUGGUGAACUAUGCCUGAAUAGGGUGAAGCCAGAGGAAACUCUGGUGGAGGCUCGCAGCGGUUCUGACGUGCAAAUCGAUCGUCAAAUUUGGGCAUAGGGGCGAAAGACUAAUCGAACCAUUGACGCUAGGUGGUCAAGAGGGCGCUAUAGCGCCUAGUCCCUCCGGGGGCGACACGAUCCAAUUGCGGGGACGUCCCGCCUAACUGCUACGCUACCGCAGCCGUGCCGAAAGGGCGGUACGCACCGGGUUAACGACCCUGGGGAUGGUAAUAACGCGCAGCUAGGGAUGAUCCGCAGCCAAGUCCUACCGGCGCUCGCGCCCAGGGAUGCAGUUCACAGACUAGAUGGGUCGUGGGCCCGUACAGCGGGCUUAAGUUAUAGUCGGACCGCCGGGAGACCGGGUCGGGGUAUCGCUAGUAGCUGGUUCCUGCCGAAGUUUC